CCUACGGGUGGCAGCAGUGAGGAAUAUUGGUCAAUGGGCGCGAGCCUGAACCAGCCAAGUCGCGUGAGGGAAGACGGUCCUAUGGAUUGUAAACCUCUUUUGUCGGGGCGCAAAAGACGCCACUCGUGGCGUUCCGAGAGUACCCGAAGAAAGAGCAUCGGCUAACUCUGUGCCAGCAGCCGCGGAAAUACGGAGGAUGCGAGGGUUAUCCGGAUUGAUUGGGUUAAAGGGGUGCGCAGGCGGAAGAUCAAGUCAGCGGUAAAAUUGAGGGGCUCAACCUCUUCGAGCCGUUGAAACUGGUUUUCUUGAGUGAGGGAGAAGUAUGCGGAAUGCGUGGUGUAGCGGUGAAAUGCAUAGAUAUAACGAAGAACUCCGAUUGCGAAGGCAGAAUACCGGCGCUCAACUGACGCUCAUGCACGAAAGUGUGGGUAUCGAACAGGAUUAGAUACCCCUGUAGUC
rnacentral:rRNA from 1 species